CGGGGUAUAGCUCAGUUGGAAGAGCGCGGCAUUUGGGAUGCUGAGGCCGAAAGUUCGAUCCUUUCUACUCCGACCA
rnacentral:tRNA from 1 species